rnacentral:pre_miRNA from 1 species
GAAAUACUCUCUUCGUUUUGAAAUUCUUGUCUUAGCUUUGCCUGAAUGUGAAUGUAUCUAGUCACGUUUUAGUAUUUUGAUACAUCAAUUUCUAAAUAAAUCUAAGAAAAGAAUUUUGGGACGGAGGAAGUACUAU